GGAAACAUUGUGAGGUUGCAAGAUGUGGUUCACAGUGAGAAGCGAUUAUAUCUAGUGUUUGAAUAUCUCGACUUGGAUUUGAAGAAGCAUAUGGACUCAUGUCCCGAGUUCUCUAAGGAUCCGCGUCUUGUAAAAAUGUUUUUGUAUCAAAUUCUCCGUGGAAUUGCUUAUUGUCAUUCUCAUAGAGUUCUUCACCGAGAUCUGAAGCCUCAGAACUUGCUGAUAGAUAGACGUACAAACGUUCUAAAGCUUGCAGACUUUGGAUUGGCUAGAGCAUUCGGCAUUCCUGUCAGAACUUUCACCCACGAGGUGGUGACGUUAUGGUACAGGGCACCAGAAAUACUGCUAGGAUCACGCCACUACUCUACUCCUGUUGAUGUUUGGUCAGUAGGCUGCAUAUUUGCUGAGAUGGUGAACCAGCGGCCUCUGUUUCCGGGUGACUCCGAGAUUGACGAACUUUUCAAGAUUUUCAGAGUUGUGGGUACUCCAAAUGAGGAUACAUGGCCUGGAGUGACUUCUUUGCCUGAUUUUAAAUCUGCUUUUCCAAAGUGGCCAUCUAAGGACUUAGGAACUGUAGUCCCUAAUCUUGGUGCAGCAGGCCUUGAUCUCAUUGGUAAAAUGCUUUACCUAGACCCCAGCAAGAGAAUCACUGCCCGAAGCGCCCUUGAGCAUGAGUACUUCAAGGACAUUGGGUUCGUACCAUGAAUCGAGCACCUGCAUCUUCAGUUCUAAUGUAUAUUUGAGUGUGUUAUUUUUAGGCUUUAUUUGUCCUCUACUUUUAAUUAUAUUUCCUCCAAUGACAUCCAAUCUGUUUACGAUUCACGCUAGAUGUUUGAAGAUAGUUUCACUGCAAUUUCCUUUGGUUUUGUAUUUUAUGGUUCAGACAAUACUGGAAGACAGCAAUCCAUUCUGCUUUCUUCAUUAAUUUCAUUUUGGGGUUACAUUUAAGUGUUGU
rnacentral:misc_RNA from 1 species